UGAAGACAGCCCAGCCAAGCACCUUUUAACUUCUGUCUGAUUCCUCUCUCUAUGCUCUUUCUCUGUCUAUCUAUCUAAUUAUGCUUUUGGGUUUCUUCUUUUUCUGGUUUCACAGCUUUGGCUUUGAAGUCACGAGCCCAUCCCCCUAACCAUCCCCUUUUAUGCUUUGCUUUUCUAGUCAAUUUAAUUCAUGAGUUGUAACGAUGGAAGAAGUUUCAUUUAUCUAAUUAAUGUGUAUGCCUCAUUAAUGUUGCCUUCUUCCUAUAUUGCUAAAAG